rnacentral:rRNA from 1 species
CUACGGAGGGUGCGAGCGUUAAUCGGAAUUACUGGGCGUAAAGCGUGCGUAGGCGGUUUGCUAAGUCAGAUGUGAAAGCCCCGGGCUUAACCUGGGAACUGCAUUUGAUACUGGCAGACUAGAGUAUGAUAGAGGGGGGUAGAAUUCCUGGUGUAGCGGUGAAAUGCGUAGAUAUCAGGAGGAAUACCAGUGGCGAAGGCGGCCCCCUGGAUCAAUACUGACGCUGAGGUACGAAAGCGUGGGGAGCGAACAGGAUUAGAAACCCGAGUAGUCC